CCCUUAGAUGUUCUGGGCCGCACGCGCGCUACACUGAUGCAUUCAACGAGUCUAAAACCUGGUCUGAUAGGGCUGGGUAAUCUUUUGAAAGUGCAUCGUGAUUGGGAUAGAUGAUUGCAAUUCUUCAUCUUCAACGAGGAAUGCCUAGUAAACGCAAGUCAUCAGCUUGCAUUGAUUACGUCCCUGCCCUUUGUACACACCGCCCGUCGCUCCUACCGAUUGAAUGAUCCGAUGAAUACCAUGGAUUGAGAGUACGAAUGGGUUCGCUCAUUUCUGCUGCUCGAGAAGUGGAGUAAAUCUUAUCAUUGAGAGGAAGGAGAAGGCGGAACA
rnacentral:rRNA from 1 species